GCCACUGUGGUGCUAGUGGUUUGAGCAUUAGACUAGGACUCAGAAGACCAGGGUUCGAAUCCCGGCUGGGCCA